UUGCUUUCAUAUUCCAGGAAAGCGUGGAAGAACCAUCCCGGUCCUUCUGAGAGAUCAAAUGAAAAAAAAUAUAGACACAAUUUUUGCCUAUAGAAAAUUCGUAGGGAUAUCAAACAAUAAUAAAUAUUUAUUCCCUAAAUUAGGAGAAAAACCAUAUCAUUGUGGUUGUAAAGUGCUUCGGGACUUAGGAGUGCUUCGGGACUUAGGUGGUAGUCUUCAGUUACAUUUUUUAAAAUGGCAACCACAUGACAUCAACAGGGCUUCGACAUCAUGUUGCUAAAAUGAAUCAAAUCGCAGGGAAAGAUAAUGCUUAUGUCAACGCGCUGUCACAAUUUAUGGGGCAUACUCCAGGCACUCAUAAAGGAAACUAUAUGCUCCCUCAAUUGGCUCUGGAGAAAGGUAUAGUUGGCCUGAAUCUUUUAAAACUUGCAGAUGGUGAGAUAAACUGUAAAAAAAAAAAAAACUGAACUGGACAGUAUAGAAAAAUCAAUUAAUUUGCCCAACAAAAGGAAAACAAAUAGAAAUGUAUAACGGCCAGUUCUUACAGAUAUAGUUGUUUCUUCUAAAGAGAUGCUGUCAGAAUCGAAAUUUUCAGAAGACAGUUUUGAAAGCCCACGUAAGAAACAACGUACAAAAAUCGUCAGAAGCAGAUGGAGUGUACAGGAAAAGAAGGAGCUUUUUACAGAGUUUGCCGAAUUUUUCAUAAACGGACCCUGGUGACUACAAAAUAAAAAAAAUAAAAAGGAAACAGGUGUUCUGGCAGGAACAUCCUGGAAACAAAUCAAUUCGUACAUUAAUAACUACCGAG